rnacentral:rRNA from 1 species
AUUUAUAGCACUAUAAAUAUCCUAAAGGCACCAAAUCCUGUUUGAUCUUAGAAGCUGAGCAAGAUCAACCCUGGCUAGUACUUGGAUGGGAGACUGAUGACAAAUCCUAGGUACUGUAGGCU